UACGUAGGGUGCAAGCGUUGUCCGGAAUUAUUGGGCGUAAAGAGCGUGUAGGCGGCCUGAAAGGUCAGCUGUGAAAACUCGAGGCUCAACCUCGAGACGUCGGUGGAAACCGUUUGGCUAGAGUCCGGAAGAGGAGAGUGGAAUUCCCGGUGUAGCGGUGAAAUGCGCAGAUAUCGGGAAGAACACCCGUGGCGAAGGCGGCUCUCUGGGACGGUACUGACGCUGAGACGCGAAAGCGUGGGGAGCGAACAGG
rnacentral:rRNA from 1 species